GUUCUGUAAAAUAUGUUAUCAUUCAUUGUAUUUUAUGGGAACUCCUGUUUUGGAGAUUACCUAACCUAAUUGGAAACGGCAAUACUGCGAGGGUACAGUAGAGGGCGAUGAGUUGAGAUGCGAUUUGCCAACCCAAUCCCGAAGAAGAGCUGGUAGUAGCCAAACCGAGCAAAAACAAACAAGGAGAACCACCAAACAAUGAAAACCAAAUAUUAAAGCUAUCAGCUAUGGAACGCCGUUUGGGUUUAAGAAUUAAUCGGUCAAAUAACAUUGUUUAUUUAAGGCUUCAAAUACGUCCAUCGACAUAUACUAUUUAACCUGUAGCUGACUCCAAUUAGAUCCUGUCUGUUUAGCUGGGAAAGCUGGACAGAAAAAAACCUAGCUGAUGGAUGCUUACGAUGUACUUCUCUAACAAAAAGUUCGCAUGAACAUUGAGAAUACACGGAUUUCAGAAUUUCAUCAUAGUAUUCAAGGCAAAGAUGCAGUCUCCUAUUCCAAGAGGUUCUAGGAAAGAGAGAGUCGAAAGGAAACAAACUCCCCACUUGUGCCACAAUCUGGACCUUCUGGAAAAUUACUACACCCUGAACAUUCCCACACCCUGAACAUUCCCACACCCUGCUGGCAAGACAGGUCACCCGGUGGGCAGUCACGAUGAAGGACUAUCAGGACCAUGGUGGUGUGAAGUCCAAACCUGAAGACCUACACAAGGCUCCAACUGUUUGGGGGUGAACCUUAACACACUGGUAAAACACUUGCAUGUCUUCCAUGGAGUGGGCGACCAUUCGUCAGGAACUUCCGAGAGGGACGAGUCAGGCCCUUUACAUUCUGCAUUCAGAAACACAAUACCGCGACCAAUCAACCAGCAGCACGUAUCAGCUCCCGCUAGACAGAACAUGGCAGGCUACACAGUGUGGCAGUACAGCCUAAACUACCUCUGUUUAAGUUUAACUUCUGUACCACUACCUCCGGUGGACAAACUUUGACUGAGUGGCUGGAACUGAUGAGGUUCACUGACUAAUUGACUAUAUAUUAUUUUUAAAAUUUUUUGCCAUGUUUAAUGACUUAUGGAUAUUUUAUGUUUUGUCCAUGUUCAGUUACUAGAUCGUAAAGUAGUAGGUUUCAUUGUGAAGUAGGACAGACAUUAAUAAACCAGAGAUUUGAUGCUGAUCCUAAAUGGUCAUUUAUUCUUAACAUUUCCACACAGCACCGGUAAUGCCUACCCCACUGAGGGCCAUCUGCUGUCUUUUUACAGUGUUUCUUAACCUACGUGGUUUUCCUCUUUGGGGGUUUAGGCU